GGACCUGUGGCCCAGCCUGGAUAAGGCGAUUCCCUCCUAAGGAAUAGAUCGGGGGUUCGAAGCAGUUCUUUCAAAGAAGAAUUACGAAAGUCCUCCCAGGUCCG
rnacentral:tRNA from 1 species